rnacentral:rRNA from 1 species
AGGAUGAACGCUGGCGGCGUGCCUAACACAUGCAAGUCGAACGUCCUGUCUCGCAAGAGGCAGGGAGUGGCGGACGGGUGAGUACCACGUGGGUCAUCUACCGUGAGGUGAGGAAUACCGGCGAGAAAUCGCCGACAAGACCGCAUAGGCUCGAUGCAAGUCGAGCAAAGCUCUUUCGAGAGAGGGAGCGCCACACGAGGAGCCUGCGCCCGAUUAGCUAGCUGGUGGAGUAACGGUUCACCAGGGCGACGAUCGGUAGCUGGUCUGAGAGGACGAUCAGCCACACUGGGAUUGAGAACGGCCCAGACUCCUACGGGGGGCAGCAGUGAGGAAUUUUCGUCAAUGGGGGCAACCCUGAACGAGCAACGCCGCGUGCAGGAAGAAGGUUUUCGGAUCGUAAACUGCUUUUCUCGGGAAGAGAACGGACGGUACCCGAGGAAUCAGCCCGGCUAACUACGUGCCAGCAGCCGC